CCUAGUCGGGCGGCGCUGCGGGGGGUGAAUACGGGGGUGUUUACGGGGUGGGGUAGCCUACUUUGGGAUCAUUUUGGGUAAAAAAGUCAGGUGUGAAUAGAAUAGGCAAAGGGAACUGAGGAGGCUAAGUAGGGUUUGGGAAGGGGAGGAUAGUCGGUACCGGUUGAAGACAGUCCUGAGGCCAUCUCCGGCGGGGUACCUGACCUGCCAGAUCACUUCCUCCUUAGACUGCUCCUCCGCGAGCGCGAGGCGUAGCGGUAGGUCGCCAGCGCGCAGCUGUAGCCGCCCCGAGGUAGCGCGGGUGUUGUUCGAGGAGGAGUAGGGAGGCCGUCUUACGAUCGGCGCGGGUGGGAAGAUCGAGGCGCCUUACGGUUGGUGUGGACGGGCAGGGCACGAGCGGGAAGAUAGAAGCGCGACGAGAUCUAGGCUUUGUCCAAGAGGGGAAGGGGAGACCGCGAUCGUGGCGGGUCGGUUGCCACCCACGAGCACGGGCGUUGAGAGUCCACAAGUAAAAUCCAAGUUAAACCUGAUAGAGCCGGGAAAACCUACUUGAUUAACGUACAGACUACAGGCUUAACGAGUUCAAAAUACGAUAAAUAUACCAGAUGCAUCUGACGUACCAAAACAUACUUUAUCCCAUAGACUUAAACUACAAACACUAACACCUAUCCCUUUUAACCGAUGAUAAGCCCAUGACGGUCGCCUGUGCGGACGUCCACAUAUAUCGUGGUUUAAUCCAUUAGGACCAACAUCUAUGAGAGUACUUUGAGUACUGCCUCCAACGAGAGCAAACUAACCGUGGUGGAGAAGAGUUUUAGACCCUUAAUAAAAACACAAAAACAAACAAACUAGUACCUAGAAACCUUGUGGAGAUGCGAUUCGAUCGCACAAGGAACAAUCUCAAAAGAAGAUCUCUUACAACAUAAUUAGUUAGUUAGUUUAAUGUGUCUCAAGGACUCUAUGUUAGACCCUGUAUAUUUUUUUUGAUUCUGAAUAUCUCAUGUAUGUGCUAAAUCGAUUAUUUACUCGGCGAUGUAAUGUUACGGCUGUUUGUACGAACUUGUAGUAUCUUCGUUUCGGUGAUCUCUACUCCAAUUACAGUCGUUGGUGGCGUGGUUAACCUCUUGCUAGAUUUCGACUUCUCAAAUCGGAGACAUGGUUCCUUUCUGUUAACCUCCGUUUCUAUCAUAGACUUUAAAGAAGUAAGGCACGGUUGACUUGUUGCGUGGCUUCCUAUGUAGGGUUUAUAGAGAUCGUAUACCCGUUUUUUCAUCUCGAACGUGUUGUCUAAGCUUGGUCCGUGUUUUUGUUCUUUCGAGCCUACAUCCAUGUACUGCCACGUUUUUCACUCUUGGUGGUCCAUUUGUUAAGACUCGUAUGGGAGUGUUCUGAUGGAAGUAAAAUAAAAUAAUCCUCGGAAUUAGUAGGUUUCUCUGAAGGUAACGAAGAGGCGUUGGCGGGAAGGCUUGUAACCGGGACGGGCAAAAAAAUGAAACUCUGUAGUCUUUUAUCGAUCACGCUCAGUAUAUACUAGGCGAAAGACUUAUAAAGGGAGUAGGAACGUGGUACGUCCGGAACCUCCUGUUCGAGCGACACACUUAGGUGCUACAGGAGAUCUAACGGUUUAACUUGUUAUACCAGAUCUCACACCAAGAGCUGAACCGCUACACCAACCAGCUCAGCCGCUGUUUUCAGUACCGCGGUUUCUGCUUCUCGACUGGAUUGUGCAUCUAGCACAGUAGUAGACUAGACACUCAAGUGGUGCACCCCGAACAUACCCAGUGACUACAGGAUGUUCACGUGUUGCAAAUCAACAUCGAAAAAGUUUCAUUCUCAUAGUUAGGGUGUGCCUCGUGUACUUAGUUGGAAAACAGAGAACUUACCAAGCUCAUCUUACGGACGUUUAAAAAUCGCUAGGUUUCGUCACCAUUUCACUACCUUUACUACAACGCUCAGAUUUAUAUUUAUUAAGU
rnacentral:rRNA from 1 species